rnacentral:misc_RNA from 1 species
ACCGAUCGAACCACAGCCGGGGCGUAGUUACCGCGCCGCUUCCGAACCAACAGUUUAUCAACACACGACACGAUGGAAUUAAAAGGAAAGGUGGCUCUCAUCACUGGAGCGGCCGCUGGAAUAGGCCUGGCUUACAGCGAAGAACUACUCAAACAAGGAGCGAAGGUUUCCCUUUGCGAUAUCGAUUCGGACCUCGGCGAACAAAUAUCUGAUGAGCUGGGCGCCAAGUAUGGCCGGAAGAACGUACUCUUCUGUCAGUGUGACGUCACUGACUACCCGCAAUAUGAAGAGGCGUUCGAGAUGACGAUGAAGGUAUUCAACCGACUGGACAUCGUCAUCAACAAUGCAGGAGUCAUGAACGACCGGUUCUGGGAGCUCGAAGUCGAUGUUAAUUUGAAUGGCGUGAUCCGCGGCACGCUGCUCGCGUACCGGUUCAUGGGCAAGGACCGCGGCGGGCAGGGCGGCACCAUCGUCAACACGGCGUCUACCGCCUUCGCGCGCCCUCAGGUCUCCACGCCCAUCUACACCGCCACCAACUACGCCGUCGUUGGUCUUACUAGGGCUUAUGGGGAUCAAUACCACGUGAAUCUGACAGGCGUGCGGAGUAUGGUCCUAUGCCCAGGGUUGACUGACACUGGGCUGGUGAAGGAAAUACGCAAACAACUCAUGUCUUCGGAGUACGAAGCUGCCUGGCAGAGGGAUAACGCUAACUGCAAAACUCAAAGUGCGGAGCAUGUCGGUCGCGCGCUGAUCGACAUCCUGACCAAAGGCCAGACGGGAUCCGUGUGGAUUGUGGAAAAUGGGCAACCGCCGAGGGAGUGGCGCGGUUAAGUUUAUAUCGGAGUCUGUUAAGCCCUGUCCUUGGGAAGGCUAUUGAAGGAUUGAAAGACGGAAAAACAUACGAGGAGGAUUCUUUACCUAUUCUGGCAUACAAAAUAGUGAACUAUUUUAAGAUUAUUGGCUCUGCGGAGUCUAUACGAAAACGCGCAAAGUAUAUUGAGAGCUUCGACCAAUAGCCGUACGAUAUUUAUCCACGUAGAUAACAUUCGCUGCGUGUAUUGGUCGAAGCCCUCGAUCGCCGUGCGUAACUCGCGGUUGAUGUGCAGACCCCACAGUCAAAAAAAAAAGUGAGGUAAAAAAACUAAUAGUGUUGCCAGUUAAUUUGUCAAAACAAUUUGCUAAUUAUAAGCAAAAAAAGUCGUAGAUUCAAGCCCUCUUAUAGACAGUGUAAGUAGUCAUUAUCAAAAAUAUGGGCGUAAUGUUAUAAUCAUUGAUAUUAUAGGUAUAUACGGUUGGAUAAUAUGGAAAGGUCGCCAUUCGGUGUGCGUCAAGCUAGCGGCCUCAAAAAAAAAUGGGCACGAAAAAAUAAUUUGACCAUACCAAAAAAUAGUACUCUUAUUGAAAAAAAUAGUACCUGUUGUAAAAAAAUUAGUACCAUCACGGUUCUGGAUUUAUAGCCAUGUUUUAUUGCACUUGCUAGCUUGACGGUGAGCGAAAUUUGGCGAGAGUUAACGACAAGGUCUUUCGCUUUGAUUUAAACGCCAAAAAAUAGUAUCGAAAUAGUACUCACCCCCUGCAAAAUACCGAAAGUAGUACUUCAACGGUUCCAAAGUUAUAAAGGUAGUUCUUUGAUCCCGCUAGCUUGACGUUUUGAAAAUACCUAUUAUCUGGGGAAUGCUUGCAUACUUCAGUUUGUAACUAAUGUCAAUAAACUCGUAUGAAAUAGUACUCCCUACCAUCAUAAUUUGGACCUGAUUCUCUUUGUAGAAAUAUGUCAAAAAGUCAUUAUAACCUAUGUCAUACAUUUAUCAAGACAAGUACAGUCGCGAACAAAAUUAUUACACAUGGUCAAGAAUGUUGUCAGAUUUCAGUAUUUUUCCCCAUUUUUGGGUAAAAAUUGGUGAAGUGCCAGGGUUGUUAGAUGAAAGUAAUAUCAUUGUUGAAACUCUUUGAGUUAUUCUACAAAUACUGCAAAUUGUUUAUUAACAAACACUUCGAUCCGUAACAAAUUCAACAUGAAGGUAUAAAUUAUAAAAUAAAACAGCAGAUUAAAAAUGUAUUAUGAUGUAUUAAAAUCACAGAUUGUUUUCGAUAAGAACUAGACCCAUGCAGCCAUUUUCUAUUAAAAUUAGUGCAUAUGGGUGUAUGCAAUAGGAUUUUUUUGUAAUAGCAGCACUGAAGUGCAAAGAAAUGGUAGGGUAGACCUCCAAAAUGGCAAUACUUACGAAUAAAUUGUGAGGUUAUGUAAUUGUCUACGUGACUGUAUCAACAACAAAUGUAUGGCAUAGGUUAUGAUGAUUUUUUAACAUUUCUACAAAGAGAAUCGGAUCAAAAUUAUGAUGGUAGGGAGUACUAUUUCAUACGAGUUUAUUGACAUUAGUUACAUACUGAAGUAUGCAAGCGUUCCCCAGAUAAUAGGUAUUUUCAAAACGUCAAGCUAGCGGGAUCAAAGAACUGCCUUUAUAACUUUGGAACCGUUGAAGUACUACUUUCGGUAUUUUGCAGGGGGUGAGUACUAUUUCGAUACUAUUUUUUGGCGUUUAAAUCAAAGCGAAAGACCUUGUCGUUAACUCUCGCCAAAUUUCGCUCACCGUCAAGCUAGCAAGUGCAAUAAAACAUGGCUAUAAAUCCAGAACCGUGAUGGUACUAAUUUUUUUACAACAGGUACUAUUUUUUUCAAUAAGAGUACUAUUUUUUGGUGUGGUCAAAUUAUUUUUUCGUGCCCAUUUUUUUUUUGAGGCCGCUAGCUUGACGCACACUUUUAUUCUGAUGUUGUUGUUUCAUUUAGUUGAGUUUUAAAAACGUUCCAUUUUUCCUUAAUAAAUCGUGUAUUUCAAA